rnacentral:rRNA from 1 species
UACGAAGGGGGCAAGCGUUGUUCGGAGUUACUGGGCGUAAAGGGUGCGUAGGCGGCACAUCAAGUAAGGCGUGAAAGCCCCGGGCUUAACCUGGGAAUUGCGCUUUAGACUGGUGUGCUUGAGUAGAGGAGAGGUGAGUGGAAUAUCCAGUGGAGAGGUGAAAUUCGUAGAGAUUGGAUAGAACACCGGUGGCGAAGGCGGCUCACUGGCCUUUUACUGACGCUGAGGCACGAAAGAGUGGGGAGCAAACAGG